rnacentral:rRNA from 1 species
AACGCUAGCUACAGGCUUAACACAUGCAAGUCGAGGGGAAACGAUAUUGGAAGCUUGCUUCCGAUAGGCGUCGACCGGCGCACGGGUGAGUAACGCGUAUCCAACCUGCCCACCACUUGGGAAUAACCUUGCGAAAGUAAGACUAAUACCCAAUGACGUCUCUAGAAGACAUCUGAAGGAGAUUAAAGAUUUAUCGGUGAUGGAUGGGGAUGCGUCUGAUUAGCUUGUUGGCGGGGUAACGGCCCACUAAGGCGACGAUCAGUAGGGGUUCUGAGAGGAAGGUCCCCCACAUUGGAACUGAGACACGGUCCAAACUCCUACGGGAGGCAGCAGUGAGGAAUAUUGGUCAAUGGGCGAGAGCCUGAACCAGCCAAGUAGCGUGCAGGAUGACGGCCCUAUGGGUUGUAAACUGCUUUUAUAAGGGAAUAAAGUGAGCCUCGUGAGGCUUUUUGCAUGUACCUUAUGAAUAAGGACCGGCUAAUUCCGUGCCAGCAGCCGCGGUAAUACGGAAGGUCCGGGCGUUAUCCGGAUUUAUUGGGUUUAAAGGGAGCGUAGGCCGGAGAUUAAGCGUGUUGUGAAAUGUAGAUGCUCAACAUCUGCACUGCAGCGCGAACUGGUUUCCUUGAGUACGCACAAAGUGGGCGGAAUUCGUGGUGUAGCGGUGAAAUGCUUAGAUAUCACGAAGAACUCCGAUUG